rnacentral:rRNA from 1 species
UACGGGGGGGGCAAGCGUUGUUCGGAAUUACUGGGCGUAAAGGGCUCGUAGGCGGCCAACUAAGUCGGACGUGAAAUCCCCAGGCUCAACCUGGGAACUGCGUCCGAUACUGGAUGGCUUGAAUCCGGGAGAGGGAUGCAGAAUUCCAGGUGUAGCGGUGAAAUGCGUAGAUAUCUGGAGGAACACCGGUGGCGAAGGCGACUACCUGGCCUGUUCUUGACGCUGAGGCGCGAAAGCUAGGGGAGCAAACGGG